GCCAGACUCCUACGGGAGGCAGCAGUGGGGGAUAUUGCACAAUGGGGGGAACCCUGAUGCAGCGACGCCGCGUGGGUGAAGGAGCGUUUCGGCGCGUAAAGCCCUAUCGGCAGGGAAGAAGGAGGACGGUACCUGACUAAGAAGCCCCGGCUAACUACGUGCCAGCAGCCGCGGUAAUACGUAUGGUGCAAGCGUUAUCCGGAUUUACUGGGUGUAAAGGGAGCGCAGGCGGCACGGCAAGCCUGAUGUGAAAGCCCGCGGCCCAACCGCGGGACUGCAUUGGGAACUACCGGGCUGGAGUGCCGGAGAGGUAGGCGGAAUUCCUAGUGUAGCGGUGAAAUGCGUAGAUAUUAGGAGGAACACCAGUGGCGAAGGCGGCUUACUGGACUGUAACUGACGUUGAGGCUCGAAAGCGUGGGGAGCAAACAGGAUUAGAUACCCGGGUAAA
rnacentral:rRNA from 1 species